UGGGGAAUAUUGCACAAUGGAGGGAACUCUGAUGCAGCAACGCCGCGUGCGGGAUGACGGCCUUCGGGUUGUAAACCGCUUUCAGCCAUGACGAAGCUUUUGUGACGGUAGUGGUAGAAGAAGCACCGGCUAACUACGUGCCAGCAGCCGCGGUGAUACGUAGGGUGCGAGCGUUGUCCGGAAUUAUUGGGCGUAAAGAGCUUGUAGGCGGUUUGUCGCGUCGAUAGUGUAAACACGCAGCUUAACUGUGUGCCUGCUGUCGAUACGGGGUGACUAGAGGGGGGUAGGGGGGAAUGGAAUUCCCGGUGGGGCGGUGGAAUGCGCAGAUAUCGGGAGGAACACCAGUGGCGAAGGCGGUUCUCUGGACCUUUCCUGACGCUGAGAAGCGAAAGCGUGGGUAGCAAACAGG
rnacentral:rRNA from 1 species